GACGAACGCUGGCGGCGUGCCUAAUACAUGCAAGUAGGACGCAGUUGCGAACGGGUGAGUAACGCGUAGGUAACUGCCUAUUAGAGGGGGAUAACUAUUGGAAACGAUAGCUAAUACCGCAUACUAGUAGAUGGACCUGCGUUGUAUUAGCUAGUAGGUAGGGUAAUGGCCUACCUAGGCGACGAUACCUAGCCGACCUUGGAGGGUGAUCGGCCACACUGGGAAUGAGACAAGGGCCAGACUCCCACGGGAGGCAGCAGUAGGGAAACUUCGGCAAUGGGGGGAAACCUGAACGAGCAACGCCGCGUGAGUGAAGAAGGGUUUCGGAUCGUAAAGCUCUGUUGUUAAGGAAGCGGUACUUAACCAGAAAGGGACGGCUAACUACGUGCCAGCCGCCGCGGUAAUUC
rnacentral:rRNA from 1 species